rnacentral:misc_RNA from 1 species
ACUACACAAUCAUCAAGGACUUCCGAUUGUGAUUUGGCGGAGAGGCUGAACGUGUCAAACGGGUCGACAUACUACUGUCUUUGCUAAAUGGUUCAAGGCAGUAAUAUCCUCUAUAUGGAUGGAUUUACAAAGAUUGAGGUGCCGCAAGGGAAAAUGCCUAGUUCUAGGAAUUAUCUGCUGUCUAUUAUUCAUAAUUGUACUGUCUCUAUACCCUCUACAGGACCUCUCUGCAUGUUCUAUUCCUUCUCCGGCAGUUGACCUGUCUGUUUUAUGUAAGGAAGCUAAGAGAAAAUGUACCUUCAACAAUAAUGAGGAUAGUUCACUUAAACAUGCAAAUCCACCUGACCAAGUUAUCCCCCCUGCUGAAGGGGAAGCCCCCUCUGAAUUAGACAAGGAAGGUCAGCCUCCUCAUAAGAUGGCUCUUAUAGUUCCGUACCGUGAUAGACUGGAGGAGUUACUACAAUUUGCACCUUACAUGCAUAAAUAUCUCAAAGACAAACACAUCGCUCAUCAGAUUUACGUCAUAAACCAAGUGGAUAAUUAUAGAUUUAACAGAGCUUCCCUGAUAAAUGUUGGUUUCCUAGAGAGUCGAUCUGACUGCGAUUAUAUUGCUAUGCAUGAUGUGGACUUGUUACCGCGGAACCCUACCCUCAAUUACGGCUACCCAGAGGAAGGACCUUUCCAUGUUGCCUCGCCAGAGUACCAUCCAAAAUACAACUACUCUAAAUUUGUUGGUGGAAUAUUACUUAUGAACAAAGACAAUUUUAUUCGGGUUAACGGAAUGUCUAAUAGAUACUGGGGCUGGGGGCGUGAGGAUGACGAGCUGUAUGUGAGGCUGUUAAAGGCUCGUCUUCAGAUAAGAAGACCAACAGGACUUGAAACAGGAAGAAAAGACACCUUUCUGCACAAUCAUAAUGCCAUGAGAACGAGAGACAACAAAAGAUUUUUUAAUCAAACGAGGUUAACGAGUCGUCUAGACAGGGAGACAGGUGUGAGUACCGUGAAGUACAGUGUGGACCAUCGCGUCAACCUGGUGAUUGAUGGAGCACCAGUGACAAUGCUUAAUGUGCGCUUAAAGUGUGAUCUUGAAAAAACAAAGUGGUGUUUGAAAAAGGAAGACCAUGAUAAGCUUUACCGAUCAGCAGCUAAUUUUAUCAUCAACAAUUGAUACAGUCUUCGUUGUUAUGAAUUACAAAUAUUGUCUGUGAUAGGCCACUUUGUGGAUGGGUUCGUUUGACAAGGGUCCUUUUUUUUAAUGAAAUUACAUGUAUAAAGUUGGCCGCCUUCAAUUAAAAUGUUCACCUGGUUUAAUUUGAUUAUAAUUAUGACAUGACAAUUAAAAUCCUGACCAGUUGUUCAUCAAUUAUCCAUCCUUCAUACAUUAUAUGUAGGUCCAGUUGUUCAUCAAUUAUCCAUCCUUCAUAGGUCCAGUUGUUCAUCAAUUAUCCAUCCUGCAUAGGUCCAGUUGUUCCAUUAGCCGGGGUUUUCAGGUCCACACUACACUUAUUGUUUUCAUUAAAAGUUGAACAAAUAGGCACUAAUCCAGUUUAUAAAAAAGAAACUGCAUUUUCUAACUGGGAAUGGAGGCAGCUUGAUUGUGAGUCUCAACUUCUUCAUCUGAGUAUAACCCACAGUGUAUGAAGUUUUAUUUUAGACUUUGGAGCUGGGCAUUGUCUUUCCAGAUUUAAAAAAAAAUCUUAGUCAGCAUCUGGACAUUCAAAACUAGGACCACCGUACUAUCAGGAUCAUCAUUAUUUAAUCCUGUAUUCCUGUCCUGUAGUCAUAUAUUUCAGUUUGAAAAUGUUUACCAAGAUUUGUUAUCAAAAUGUUCCCCCAUGUCCUAUCAGCAUGGGUUGAUCCAGAGAUAUUGUCUUUUUCAUUGUACAUAUCAACAUAUUGAUUUCAGCUUUCACAGCACAAUCUUUCCCAUUACCAAGUUCUAGGGAUCAUUUAUCCAAUUGAAAUUUAUUAGAAAAAGCUGUGUUUAGUCCAAUAGCAAAUUAAGUGAAUAAACCAGGUAUUUUUAAUCUAUUUUACAAUAGUAAAUUGAUGUCACUGUUAUGUUUAGAUUGUCUUUUUGCCCAUCAUUGCUGUGAAUAUAUAUCCCAUUCACCAUUUUUAUCAUGUAUGCGAAAUAUAUAUUAUCUUUUUUAUUUUACCAAAAACAUUGUCAUUAUAUAUUGUUGACUUUUAACAGUAAGUCUUCAGUGUUUUAUUCCCAAUAGUACAAAUCAGUUGCAAAGUUUUUAAAAUUGAGUUAUGUAAUUUCUAAUUUGAAAAAUGUAAUUCCACGUGUUAACAAGCAAGUAUAAUUCAAACAGAAGUCGUAUUAAUUGUCGGUCUUGUGUCACAGGAAUUUAUUUAUGAAGAAGAUUGUAAUAAAAGGGGAAAAUGGGGCAAAAAUAGAUUAUUUGUUGCAAAUAAUUAGGAAAACAAAUCUCUGCCAAGUACUGUAGUUGAAACCCUGUGUAAAGCAAGUUAGCUGAUUUUCUUUGCAAUCGAAGCUAACUCAAUCUAAUUUCACCAAUAGCAUUAAAACAUAAUAAGGGCAUAUAAAUGGAAAGUUCAUAAUCUGCAACUUGCACUAAUAAUUAAGAUAAGAAAACAAUUUUAAACCCAUUUACCAGUAAGAGUUGGAGGAGGGAAAUGGGAGGAAGGAUCUCAAUAUAAAUAUUGUUAAAGUACCUUUAAAUAGGUUAUUUAUUAGAAAUAGUUCCUAGAGAGGGGAAAACAAAGUAAAAUUUGGAGGGGAAUUAAUGAUGGACCUUAGCACUUGAAUUCAUCUUUUAUGUUGGUACAUGUAUUUAAAUUUUGUCAGCAAUGUUUGUAAAUACAAGUUAUUUUAUUUUUAACAAAUGAAAAGUAACAGAAAUUAAUCAAAAUCAGCAUUUUCCUUACUUACUGGUCUUAGUAUUUAAGAUAUAGUGAACAUUUGCAGGAUAAUAUAUGUCUGAAAAUAUUGAAUUGUUUGCCAUUUGCCGGUAAAUUCAAUAUUUGAUCAUUGUUAAUAUUGCUCUACACAUUGACAAUAGUAUAUGUAAUGCGUGAUCCUGUGAACCAGUAUACGUAUCCACCAGCGCGAUGAAUUGGCACUCAUUACACACUAUGGAAAUGGUGCCAGUUAAACUGCCCAGAAAUUUCCCAGGUUGCAAGGAUAUUCACCAAAACAGAUAUAGUUUAUUUUCAUAAACAUGUACAAACUGAUACUUGGUUCAUUUGAAAAAGAGUUACAAUGAAAUAUAACUCACAAUCAUAAAUAUUUGUAAACUUAUGUAUAGUCAUAUAUACAUUAGCAACUUCUGCAUAAUCUUGUACGAUAACUUUAGAUGACAUAUCAUUUUUAUAUUAGUUACAGGAUGGGCGUCUUUCGGCGUGCAUAUGAUGUAAACUUACUGCAAUGUAUACAUGUGCAAUUUUUUCAUGAUUAUCAUGCAAAAUAUGUUUUUCUUUAUAUUAGAUAAUGUGGUUUUAAGUCAUGGAUGAUGAAAAUAUAAAACAACAUCCAGCGUCCUGGAUACUCAAGGGGUUACGCUCACUUACAGUAUCUGCUUCAUGGAUACUCAAGGGGUUACGCUCGCUUACGGUAUCUGCAUCCUUGAUACUGAAGGGGUUACACUCACUUACAGUAUCUGCGUCCUGGAUACUCUAGGGUUACACUCACUUACAGUAUCUGCUUCAUGGAUACUCAAGUGGUUACGCUCACUUACGGUAUCUGCAUCCUUGAUACUGAAGGGGUUACGCUCACUUACAGUAUCUGCGUCCUGGAUACUCUAGGGUUACACUCACUUACAGUAUCUGCUUCAUGGAUACUCAAGUGGUUACGCUCACUUACGGUAUCUGCAUCCUUGAUACUGAAGGGGUUACACUCACUUACAUUAUCUGCGUCCUGGAUACUCUAGGGUUACACUCACUUACAGUAUCUGCUUCCUGGAUACUCAAGUGGUUACGCUCACUUACGGUAUCUGCGUCCUUGAUACUGAAGGGGUUACACUCACUUACAGUAUCUGCGUCCUGGAUACUUGAGGGGUUACGCUCACUUACAAUAUCUGCGUCCUGGAUACUCAUGGGGUUACGUUCACUAACAGUAUCUGCACCCUGGAUACUCAAGGGUUACGCUCACUUACAGUAUCUGCACCCUGGAUACUCAAGGGGUUACGUUCACUUACAGUAUCUGCGCCCUGGAUACUCAAGGGGUUACGCUCACUUACAGUAUCUGCGCCCUGGAUACUCUAGGGUUACCCUCACUUACAGUAUCUGCACCCUGGAUACUCAAGGGGUUACGCUCACUUACGGUAUCUGCGUCCUGGAUACUCAAGGGUUAUGCUCACUUAUGCUGCAGAGAACGUUAGUGAGCCUCGCAUGGUCAAAUCUCAUCUAUAUUGAUUGAACAAAGUUGUGCACUCUAAAAUACAAGGCCUGACAGUUCAAACAACUUUACUUUUGGCAACAACUAGAUAAUACUGUUUAAAUAAAAACAAAUUCAAUUUAACUUGUUGAAUAAGGAUCAAGUUGUGUAUAAAUCACUAUUGUUUUCAUUUGAAAUCAUUCAUAAUCUUUAUCUUGUUUGUAGAUGCAACAGUACUGUUGCCUUAAUCUGCUUGCCCUAUUUCUUCCCACACUAUCUCGUAGAUUCCACCUAUCAUACUUUACUCUGAGUAACAAUCGUGCCAAAUAUAAUGAAACUUGUAGAUACUAACAAUAUAUACAGACACCUUUAAAUAUGACAUACUUUAUGGCCCAAAGAGACUAACCUGUGAAAUUUCGUUAUUUGCUACUUGCCCUGUUUCUUAAUGAUAACUAAAUUGGUCCAAAUUCACUCAAUAUUGCAAAGCAGGAAGACGUAUUUGCAAUUUUCACCUGAUAAGUAUAAGCAUGUCAUCAGACCCUAAACUUCGUGGUAUUUUAGAAUCGUUUUAACUAAUAACUGUCAUAUUUGACCAAAAGAUCUGGGUCCGUAUUCAUGAAACCGUUCUCAUGCUAAUCUCUUGUUUCAGUUAAUAAAAACAUUUAUUUUUUUCAGCUAUGUGAGGAAAAAAAUUGAAGAGGCUUAAAACCAAAUACUGUUUUCAAUGUUUUUACAUUUUAUUUUUGAGUGUUUUACACGAUUUAAGUGAGUUACAAAAAAAGCUGGUUUGAGCACAGAAUUCAUGCUUGAGCGUGCGAACAGUUUCAUGAAUACUGGCCCUGGUCACUUUCAUAAUGUUGGUAAUGUCAGGUUUUGCUAUAAUUAUUAAGAAAAGUAUGUCCUCAUUACUUUAGGCAAUUUCAUGAGCAUUAGCUUGAAUAGUGUACAUCAGUUAGUCAUCUUUGUCAUUUUCUAUGGCCAGAUAAUGAAAGUUGAAAUUUGUUGUCUCUCCACUAAUUUACAUAAAUUUUAAGAAAAAGUAUUCAAUGUAUGCCGAUGAGUUCAUCUGUACGAAUUCAAUGAAAGCUAUCUAUAUUUCAAACUUUAUAAAAAAUGUUUUGGGAUUUUAUCAUAAACAAUUUAUCAAUAUGUUAUUGUUGUCUUUCAAGUAAUUAAGAUUUGUUCGGGAGAUCUUUUCAUUGGAUAUGACGUUAUAUAAUUGAUUAGAUUCAUGCUUCUAGAAAGUAUUCCGUAAUCAACAGUGUAUAUACAGUAUAUAUUGGGUGAAACACCUUUAAGUUAUGACAUUAUCCGCAUAAAUAACGAAUAUUUGUUUUAAUUACACACGUAUACAUAUAUAUACAUGUAUAUAUAUUACAUCAACUUCAUUUUUUUAAUUACUCUAUACAUUAUUUAAAACUUUUGAUUAUAUGUAAAUAAUUGUGUAAAAUCUAUUUAAGUUUUAACCUAGUGGGGUAAUGUACUGUACAAGGUACCCAAAUGCUUAUUGACUCUGAUAUGACUUAAUUUCAAGCAUAAUUUGUGGAAAGGUUUUUGGUGUUUUUUUCAAGAUCCGAGUAACUGGUACGAUCGUAUAUGACAAAGUUCAGCUAAGAAAUGCUUUAUUCAGAAAAAAGCCAUUUAGUACCUUAGUACGUUUUAACAUCUCAGCCAAGACCAACUAGUUUCGUCAACGUUUGUUUUUUUCCCACAGAUUACUUGAUAAUUUGAAAAAAAAAAUGUUACGUUCAUAUGUGUUUUAAUAUUUAAAAAAUAAU